UCGCAUGAUGAAUCCUGAUAGGGACAACUGAUGCCAAUGGCAUUUGAGGUCAUCCGGGAAGAGUAUUUUAGUAGAUGCUUCUUGUUUUCUGAAA
rnacentral:snoRNA from 1 species